GUGAGGAAUAUUGGUCAAUGGACGAGAGUCUGAACCAACCAAGUCGCGUGAAGGAAGACGGUUCUAUGAAUUGUAAACUUCUUUUGUGCAGGAAUAAAGUGGGUUACGUGUAACCUUUUGUAUGUACUGUACGAAUAAGGAUCGGCUAACUCCGUGCCAGCAGCCGCGGUAAUACGGAGGAUCCGAGCGUUAUCCGGAUUUAUUGGGUUUAAAGGGUGCGUAGGUGGAUUGAUAAGUCAGCGGUGAAAGUUUGCAGCUUAACUGUAAAAUUGCCGUUGAAACUGUCGGUCUUGAGUGCAAAUGAGGUAGGCGGAAUGUGUUGUGUAGCGGUGAAAUGCUUAGAUAUAACACAGAACUCCGAUUGCGAAGGCAGCUUACUGGGAUGCAACUGACACUGAUGCACGAAAGCGUGGGUAUCAAACAGGAUUAGAUACCCGUGUAGUCC
rnacentral:rRNA from 1 species